rnacentral:rRNA from 1 species
CUGGCGGCGUGCCUAAUACAUGCAAGUCGAACGGUCUUUCUAUGGAAGCUUGCUUCCACUGAGAAGAUAGUGGCGAACGGGUGAGUAACACGUGGGUAACCUGCCCAUAAGAGGGGGAUAACAUCCGGAAACGGGUGCUAAUACCGCAUAGUUUCUUGAUCGCAUGAUCGGGAAAGGAAAGACGGCCUUUGUGCUGUCGCUUAUGGAUGGACCCGCGGCGUAUUAGUUAGUUGGUGAGGUAACGGCUCACCAAGACGAUGAUACGUAGCCGACCUGAGAGGGUGAUCGGCCACAUUGGGACUGAGACACGGCCCAAACUCCUACGGGAGGCAGCAGUAGGGAAUCUUCCGCAAUGGACGAAAGUCUGACGGAGCAACGCCGCGUGAGUGAAGAAAAGGUUUUCGGAUCGUAAAACUCUGUUGUCAGAGAAGAACAAGUUGGAGAGUAACUGCUCCAGCCUUGACGGUAUCUGACCAGAAAGCCACGGCUAACUACGUGCCAGCAGCGGC